rnacentral:rRNA from 1 species
UACGUAGGCAGCAAGCGUUGUUCGGAGUUACUGGGCGUAAAGGGUGUGUAGGCGGUUCUUUAAGUUUGGGGUGAAAUCUCCCGGCUCAACUGGGAGGGUGCGCCGAAUACUGAGGGACUAGAGUACGGGAGAGGAAAGUGGAAUUCCUGGUGUAGCGGUGAAAUGCGUAGAUAUCAGGAGGAACACCGGUGGUGUAGACGGCUUUCUGGACCGUAACUGACGCUGAAACACGAAAGCGUGGGUAGCAAACAGG